rnacentral:lncRNA from 1 species
AUGCUGGAAAAGCAAUAGAUGGAAGAUUGAUUAUUGAUGUUGUAUAUUGAUGUUGUAUUUGAAUUGUUUCAUUUUAAAGUGUUGUUAGCUGCCCAGAGUGGUCAAUUGACCAGAUGGGUGGGAUAUAAAUAAAAUGAAUCAAUCAAUCAAUCAAUUAAUCAAUCAAUCAAUCAAUUAAUCAAUCAAUCAAUCAAUUAAUCAAUCAAUCAAUCAAUCAAUCCCAAACAAGUCUCUGUAAUAUGUGAUGGGUGUAACUACUGCAACUUUGCUUACCCUUUUGAUUUUGCUCCAUUCCUAUUUCAGAAAGAAUUCAGAGACUUUGGCGCUGGUGCAGGCUGGGCAGGUAGAUGCCUCCAAGGCAAGCUACUCCGUCCAGAUCCGCCAAGCUCUGACUCACCCUGGUUCACUGGAGCAGCAGGAUCUUCACAACUUGGGGCUUUUGGAACUGGAGGAACCACUGGAAUUUGGGCCCCUUGUUGGACCCAUCUGUCUCUUAGACAAGGCGGAUACAAUGGCUAAUUUCAGAGACUGUUGGCUGCCAGGCUGGACUAUGCUGGAUGGUGAGUGCUAGCAGGUAUCUGUUUCGAGUAGAGCACUGACUUGCAGCUGGUGGUAACCUGUGAUACCCUGGAGGAGGUGUCUCUAGGACUGGGAGCUAGAACUGACUGCUUCUCAUGGCCUGGCCAGUGUAUUAUCCUUUUUUAAUGGCACUCCUUGUUAGAUCAUUCCUGGUGAUCAUCCAUGAGUGCAUUGGUGUAUUUGAAUAACCUAAUAUCAAGCCCAGAAUAUGCUAAGCGCAUAUGCUCUCCUUGUACUCCAGGAGGUCCUACUGUGCUGUUGAAGCAUCAUUUAGACAUCCUGAACAUCAGCAAGUGCAGCCAGCUUGGGGACCAGCUCCCCAAUGCUACCUUUUGCAUCAAUGCCCAGGUGGGCCAGGAAGGAAUCUGCAAGGGUGAUGUGGGCUCUCCACUGAUCUGUUCUGACCCCAAGGGUGGGGCAUGGCUUCAGCUGGGGGUAUUAAGCAGCUUCGAUGAAGCUUGCUCCCAUCCCUAUGUGUUCAGCAGCCUGCCCUUCUACUUGCCCUGGCUGAAGAGGGCCACAAAGGCUGCUGGGCAUCGUUACAACCUCUUUGUCCCUUGGGAACGGCUGGGCGCUGCAAAUAAUCUUCGUCUGCUAAGGCAACCAGAGUGUGAGUAGCAGCUUAAUGAUUGAUCUGAUUUAGUACCAUCUCCCUAGUCCUCCAGGUCAGUGUAAAAGGCUUGGGACCCCAAUAUCUGCUGGAAUGUCUCUCCUACAAAAUGGCUACACAUCCAACCUAUUCAAGAAAAUCAUCACUAAAAACUGGGCAUUUUCUAUUGUGGCCCCAUAUCUUUGGAGUAAAUUGCCAGGUUUGCCAGGUGCCUUCCCUCCCAGUUUUUAAGGAAUUAUAAGAACAGAGUUGU